rfam:Edhazardia aedis TSNM 41457 supercont1.46, whole genome shotgun sequence.
UCUUCCUUAGUAUAGUGGUUAGUAUAUCAGCCUGUCACGUUGGUGGCCCGAGUUCGAUUCUCGGAGGAAGAG